rnacentral:lncRNA from 1 species
AGCUGGUUGUACCAAUUCACACCCCCUCACCCCCACCCCCUGCUGACUGUAGUGUGACGUUUUCCUUACACUGCCACAGCUCGGGGUUCCUCCAGCCUUUUUAAUCCUCACGUAUCUGGUAGGUGGACAGUGAUCUUGGCCUCCUUUCACAUUUGCAUUCCAUUUUAUUUCCUCUUCCUGCAGACCCCAGCAUGGCACCCUCCACCUUCUGAAGAAGUCCUCAGUUACUUCUCAAAGGCAGUGCCCUUCUCUUUGGAAUUGGACUCUGGAACAGAAUCCUGGCUAUCCUACCAGAAGCCACGUGACUGGACCGUUCCUAAACAUUGGUUGAAUAAAUGGACCAAUGAGCAGGCUUGAAGACUGCAGCCCAGCCCGGAGGCCUACAGCAUCCUCUACCUGACCACAGCAUG